GGGGGGAAUAUUGCGCAAUGGGGGAAACCCUGACGCAGCGACGCCGUGUGAGGGAAGAAGGCUUUCGGGUCGUAAACCUCUGUCAGAAAGGAAGAACCUCCCAAGUCCGAAUAGGGCUUGGGACUGACGGUACUUUCAAAGGAAGCACCGGCUAACUCCGUGCCAGCAGCCGCGGUAAUACGGAGGGUGCAAGCGUUAAUCGGAAUCACUGGGCGUAAAGCGCGCGUAGGCCGCUUUGUAAGUCGGACGUGAAAGCCCUCGGCUCAACCGGGGAACUGCGUUCGAUACUGCGAGGCUUGAGUCCUGGAGAGGGUGGCGGAAUUCCGGGUGUAGGAGUGAAAUCCGUAGAUAUCCGGAGGAACACCGGUGGCGAAGGCGGCCACCUGGACAGGUACUGACGCUGAGGCGCGAAAGCGUGGGGAGCAAACAGGAUUAGAAACCCGUGUAGUCC
rnacentral:rRNA from 1 species